AGAGUUUGAUUCUGGCUCAGAUUGAACGCUGGCGGCGUGCUUAACACAUGCAAGUCGAACGUGAAAGUCCUUCGGGGCGAGUAAAGUGGCGCACGGGUGAGUAACGCGUGGAUAAUCUACCCUUAAGAUGGGGAUAACGGCUGGAAACGGUCGCUAAUACCGAAUACGCUCCCGAUUUUAUCAUUGGGGGGAAAGAUGGCCUCUGCUUGCAAGCUAUCGCUUAAGGAUGAGUCCGCGUCCCAUUAGCUAGUUGGCGGGGUAACGGCCCACCAAGGCAACGAUGGGUAGCCGGUCUGAGAGGAUGACCGGCCACACUGGAACUGGAACACGGUCCAGACUCCUACGGGAGGCAGCAGUGGGGAAUAUUGCGCAAUGGGCGAAAGCCUGACGCAGCGACGCCGCGUGAGGGAUGAAGGUUCUCGGAUCGUAAACCUCUGUCAGGGGGGAAGAAACCCCCUCGUGUGAAUAAUGCGAGGGCUUGACGGUACCCCCAAAGGAAGCACCGGCUAACUCCGUGCCAGCAGCCGCGGUAAUACGGAGGGUGCAAGCGUUAAUCGGAAUCACUGGGCGUAAAGCGCACGUAGGCGGCCUGGUAAGUCAGGGGUGAAAUCCCACAGCCCAACUGUGGAACUGCCUUUGAUACUGCCAGGCUUGAGUACCGGAGAGGGUGGCGGAAUUCCAGGUGUAGGAGUGAAAUCCGUAGAUAUCUGGAGGAACACCGGUGGCGAAGGCGGCCACCUGGACGGUAACUGACGCUGAGGUGCGAAAGCGUGGGUAGCAAACAGGAUUAGAUACCCUGGUAGUCCACGCUGUAAACGAUGGGUGCUGGGUGU
rnacentral:rRNA from 1 species